GAUGAACGCUAGCUACAGGUCUUAACACAUGCAAGUCGAGGGGCAGCAUGGUCUUAGCUUGCUAAGGCCGAUGGCGACCGGCGCACGGGUGAGUAACACGUAUCCAACCUGCCGUCUACUCUUGGACAGCCUUCUGAAAGGAAGAUUAAUACAAGAUGGCAUCAUGAGUCCGCAUGUUCACAUGAUUAAAGGUAUUCCGGUAGACGAUGGGGAUGCGUUCCAUUAGAUAGUAGGCGGGGUAACGGCCCACCUAGUCUUCGAUGGAUAGGGGUUCUGAGAGGAAGGUCCCCCACAUUGGAACUGAGACACGGUCCAAACUCCUACGGGAGGCAGCAGUGAGGAAUAUUGGUCAAUGGGCGAGAGCCUGAACCAGCCAAGUAGCGUGAAGGAUGACUGCCCUAUGGGUUGUAAACUUCUUUUAUAAAGGAAUAAAGUCGGGUAUGCAUACCCGUUUGCAUGUACUUUAUGAAUAAGGAUCGGCUAACUCCGUGCCAGCAGCCGCGGUAAUACGGAGGAUCCGAGCGUUAUCCGGAUUUAUUGGGUUUAAAGGGAGCGUAGAUGGAUGUUUAAGUCAGUUGUGAAAGUUUGCGGCUCAACCGUAAAAUUGCAGUUGAUACUGGAUAUCUUGAGUGUAGUUGAGGCAGGCGGAAUUCGUGGUGUAGCGGUGAAAUGCUUAGAUAUCACGAAGAACUCCGAUUGCGAAGGCAGCCUGCUAAGCUGCAACUGACAUUGAGGCUCGAAAGUGUGGGUAUCAAACAGG
rnacentral:rRNA from 1 species